rnacentral:rRNA from 1 species
UAUGUGAUCGUCUCUCGCAUAUCAAUAAGCGGAGGAAAAGAAACUAACAAGGAUUCCCCUAGUAACGGCGAGUGAAGCGGGAAGAGCUCAAAUUUGAAAUCUUAAAGGGUUUCCCUUUACGAAUUGUAGUUUAAAGAAGUGUUUUCUGUUGAGGUUUUGGUAAAAGUUCUUUGGAAUAGGACAUCAUAGAGGGUGAGAAUCCCGUAUUUGACCUUUACUUUCCAACUUUGUGAUACACUUUCAAAGAGUCGGAUUGUUUGGGAAUGCAGUCCAAAAUGGGUGGUAAAUUUCAUCUAAAGCUAAAUAUUGGCGAGAGACCGAUAGCGAACAAGUACCGUGAGGGAAAGAUGAAAAGAACUUUGAAAAGAGAGUUAAACAGUACGUGAAAUUGUCAAAAGGGAAGCGUUUGACACCCAGUGGUUGUUUUUCUGAAAAUCAAUUAAAGAACUGUUUAUGUUAAGUUGUUUAGACUUUAUCAGCUAACUGUUUAGUUUUGAGCUUUUCUUUAAUGCACUUUUCAGUUAACAAGUCAACGUCAAUUUCUUUUGCUGUAAAAAAGCUUGAGGAAGGUGGCUUGAGAUUCGUCUUAAGUGUUUAUAGCCUCUUGCCUAUGCAGUCGGAGAGAUUGAGGUCUGCAGCGUAGAUCCUUCGGGGCUAAAUGCAUUUGUGCUAAGUUAUAACAUUUUAUAGACAACUUGUUGACUAUGAUUUGUCUUGUAGCUUACUCGCUUAUGUUAUUUUACCUACGCUUAGGAUGUUGAUAUCGCGCUCUCACUG